rnacentral:rRNA from 1 species
GAUGAACGCUGGCGCCGUGCCUAAUACAUGCCAGUCGAGCGAACAGACGAGGAGCUUGCUCCUCUGACGUUAGCGGCGGACGGGUGAGUAACACGUGGAUAACCUACCUAUAAGACUGGGAUAACUUCGGGAAACCGGAGCUAAUACCGGAUAAUAUAUUGAACCGCAUGGUUCAAUAGUGAAAGACGGUUUUGCUGUCACUUAUAGAUGGAUCCGCGCCGCAUUAGCUAGUUGGUAAGGUAACGGCUUACCAAGGCAACGAUGCGUAGCCGACCUGAGAGGGUGAUCGGCCACACUGGAACUGAGACACGGUCCAGACUCCUACGGGAGGCAGCAGUAGGGAAUCUUCCGCAAUGGGCGAAAGCCUGACGGAGCAACGCCGCGUGAGUGAUGAAGGUCUUCGGAUCGUAAAACUCUGUUAUUAGGGAAGAACAAAUGUGUAAGUAACUAUGCACGUCUUGACGGUACCUAAUCAGAAAGCCACGGCUAACUACGUG